UUUCUCCUUUUUCCUUUAAGUAUGAACUUCUACAUCCUAAACGCCGAAAAUGGUCUCCUUCUUUUUUUCUUUAUUUAUUUAUUUUUUCCAUUAAAAAAAAAAGAGAAGCUUUAGAGAGAGAGGCUCCUCCUCUCUAAAAAUUUUCUCAUCUUCAUCACCCUCUUUUGAGCAGCUGGUGGCUCUCCCACCGCCCUUGGGAGUGGCUCCUCAGCCACCUUUGGUGGCUCUCCCACUGCCCUAUUCAGUUGUCCCUUCUUCCAUCCCUUUCCUUUUAUCUCCCCCACCUACUCCAUUCAAAUCCUUUCUCUAUGGUCUUGGUAUUGUCCCUUCCCACUGAAAUUUUAUUAUUCUUAUUGAUUUGGCUUCAUCUUGUGGCUGCUUCGACUAGCUAGAAACGCGUUUUCUCGCUUACAACUUUGAAGAUGCCUAGAGUUCGAGCUUUUGCUCUUGCUCAGAUGCCUGCACCACCUCCUUAUACUAUGUUGGUAUUUGUUUGGUUUUUAUAUUUGUUUUGGUGCUUUGUCAGUUUUGAUUUGGGAGGUGAUGAUCUUCAUGUGGGGCUUUUUUUUUUUUUUUGGGGUUUUUUUUUUUCUUGUAUAUGUUUAUGUAAUAUGUCAGAUUUUAAGGUAUUUUGGUGGAUUUGUGGUUUAUGAAGAAGCAGGGGCAGCGGUAGCUGCUGAAUCUUCUACUGGUACAUGGACAACUGUAUGGAGUGUGGCAGCUCAUCCCCUCAACUUGUCGCGGUGAUGUCGUCUCAGGCGGUGGUAGCGGCGGCUCGGCUGAGUUUUGUUUUGGGUUUGUUUGCUAUCUUAGCCUUGGUUUGGGCUUAUUGCCUUUUGGGCUUUAAGCUUGUUGCUGAUUCUUUUGCAUUUGAUUUGAGCCUCUGACCUUUUUGCUUUGUUGUUGAGCUCAAUUAGUUGGGUCUGACUUUUAUAUUGUAUUGUUGUGCCCUUUUGUGGAUUUCUAAUGAAAUCUACUUCCGACCGAAAAAAGAAGAAUAGUAAAAUAAUUGUGUUUUUGAAA